AUGCAUUCUGGGAUUCUGACUGUGACCUGUGUGUGUCUGAUUCACAUCACAGGCAGAGUUCUAGCUAUGCGU
rnacentral:pre_miRNA from 15 species